GGGGUUAGAAUCCAGAUGUGUCUGGCUCCACAGCCCAGUUUUUUCUGCUGUGGGAAAAGCUGUCCCUCUCAUUUGGAGUAUGGAGUGGGGGCAGAGAUGGACAAAAUGGUAGGUUAAGAAUGGAAUUAAUAAAGCAUCGUAGACGCAUUUCCUGAAAAAAUUGGUCUAAGGUGCCCCAGAGGGACCAAAAAAUAUUGGAUAGCAUAGUAUUAGGAAAAAUAAAACAAAAAAGAAAAUAUCAUUCUGCCUGCAGCGCAGCUUGAAGAGGGAUGAUUCUGAGCGCAAUGCUGGUGUAAACACUCAAGGCGGGAGGACCCGUGAUAGCACCACCCCUGCGUGUUCCUUGUCGUCAUGGAGUGAAGAGGCAACACGGAUUAUUAAAAAUAGUUCUGAAGCCCAUGGUAGAUCAGCCACUUCUUUUCCUUUUAGGUCACCCAAGCUAACACAAUAGCAAAAGAAAACUUGUUAAUGUGUUACAAAAUGCACAGUAGGCAGACCCUGGGAUGUUUCAAAAAACAGAGAUAUCUGUACUUAGAGGCUAUUAGUCGCUAUAGAGUAAUGUCUGCUGGCGCUGCUUUUUCAACAGGGGAAUCAAAUUUCUUAUUGUGCUAUCAGCCUCCCGCCGUAUCAUUUUUAAAGGAACCUGGGCAGGAGGAGAUAAGCCAAUAUAUCUGCCUGUUGAGCCUACAGUUAAAAAUAAUUAUAAAGAACAUGGUGAUGCUUCAGAAACUAUCAGCACUCCUCCAGUCCAUUGCUGUAAUGAAAAUUGGCAGCUCUUGAGAAAAACAGUAACCAUUUAGAGGAGAGCACCUGCUACAUGGACCAUGAACAGCAGAGGAAACUCUCCGGCCCCAAUAUGAUGCCAUUCUUCAAAUGUAUUAGAAGCAACUCUGUUAGAUGCUCCGAGGUUAGUCAGUUUCCGGGCAGGAGGUGGGUAGACCAUUCUAUCUCAAAGGUCUAGUUUCCACCAUCUUGCUCACAAAGAUCAGAAGUUUGAAGUUCAAAGGUGAUAAUGCCCCAAGAGCAUUAUCAUUUCUCUUUGAACUUUUCAGCAAGAAGUUAGGGCACAAGAUAUCUUAACAGUAUUAACAUCAAAGACUAUUAAGUUCUUAAUGGGUUUUUUUUCUUUUUUUUAUGGAAUGUUCAAUUCACCAGUAGUUAAAGCAACAUCAAAUUGAUUUGCUCUGAAGAAUGACUAAGGUAUGACUUUAUUGUCACAAGAGUGUGUUUUAACAAAUAUACCAGUUUAAUAUUGAACUUUGAAGGGAUGUCUUAGGUCUCUGUAUUUAUCACAGUGAUGGGGCCAUUGAUCAGAAUCUGCUGGCAAGUCUCCUUUGGGAAUUUCUCUGAGAUAGAAGGUAAGACACACAAAAUAAUUACACUCUUUUUCUUCAAAUCUCAGGUGAUAUUACCUAGCGGUGUCAUCCGUAGUUUUUGACCAGAUUUUUUCUGAGUGACUUUUUGCUCUCCCCUAAAUAAGUUCUUCUCUCAAAGUAUGAAGAGAUAUCAUCAAUGAAGAUAGUCAAAAGAAUGUACUUAAGGUUAUAAUAGAAGUUUCAACAGUUGAUCCCCAAGUUAUUUUUAUCAAUGGCAACAUCAUUGGAACAGCUUAAAGUCUCAAGAUGACUAAUUUGAACAGGAAAAUAUGCAACUAAGAGUAUACACUCUUUGGCAUUUGUUACAAACAAGUGGUAUAGUAAUUAACAGCCUGAGAUUUGGAGCCAGACAAAAUGGGUUUCAAUUCUAGUUCUGCUACCUUGGAGAAGUUACUAGCUAUGAG
rnacentral:lncRNA from 1 species